rnacentral:rRNA from 1 species
GAUGAACGCUGGCGGCGUGCCUAACACAUGCAAGUCGAGCGAUUCUCUUCGGAGAAGAGCGGCGGACGGGUGAGUAACGCGUGGGUAACCUGCCCUGUACACACGGAUAACAUACCGAAAGGUAUGCUAAUACGAGAUGAUAUAUAAAAGUUGCAUGACUUUUAUAUCAAAGCUUUUGCGGUACAGGAUGGACCCGCGUCUGAUUAGCUAGUUGGUAAGGUAACGGCUUACCAAGGCGACGAUCAGUAGCCGACCUGAGAGGGUGAUCGGCCACACUGGAACUGAGACACGGUCCAGACUCCUACGGGAGGCAGCAGUGGGGAAUAUUGCACAAUGGGCGAAAGCCUGAUGCAGCGACGCCGCGUGAGCGAUGAAGGCCUUCGGGUCGUAAAGCUCUGUCCUCAAGGAAGAUAAUGACGGUACUUGAGGAGGAAGCCCCGGCUAACUACGUGCCAGCAGCCGCGGUAAUACGUAGGGGGCUAGCGUUAUCCGGAAUUACUGGGCGUAAAGGGUGCGUAGGCGGUCUUUCAAGCCAGAAGUGAAAGGCUACGGCUCAACCGUAGUAAGCUUUUGGAACUGUAGGACUUGAGUGCAGGAGAGGAGAGUGGAAUUCCUAGUGUAGCGGUGAAAUGCGUAGAUAUUAGGAGGAACACCAGUAGCGAAGGCGGCUCUCUGGACUGUAACUGACGCUGAGGCACGAAAGCGUGGGAAGCAAACAGGAUUAGAUACCCUGGUAGUCCACGCCGUAAACGAUGAGUACUAGGUGUCGGGGGUUACCCCCCUCGGUGCCGCAGCUAACGCAUUAAGUACUCCGCCUGGGAAGUACGCUCGCAAGAGUGAAACUCAAAGGAAUUGACGGGGACCCGCACAAGUAGCGGAGCAUGUGGUUUAAUUCGAAGCAACGCGAAGAACCUUACCUAAGCUUGACAUCCCAUUGACCUCUCCCUAAUCGGAGGUUUCCCUUCGGGGACAGUGGUGACAGGUGGUGCAUGGUUGUCGUCAGCUCGUGUCGUGAGAUGUUGGGUUAAGUCCCGCAACGAGCGCAACCCUUGCCUUUAGUUGCCAGCAUUAAGUUGGGCACUCUAGAGGGACUGCCGAGGAUAACUCGGAGGAAGGUGGGGAUGACGUCAAAUCAUCAUGCCCCUUAUGCUUAGGGCUACACACGUGCUACAAUGGGUGGUACAGAGGGUUGCCAAACCGUGAGGUGGAGCUAAUCCCUUAAAGCCAUUCUCAGUUCGGAUUGUAGGCUGAAACUCGCCUACAUGAAGCUGGAGUUACUAGUAAUCGCAGAUCAGAAUGCUGCGGUGAAUGCGUUCCCGGGUCU